UUAGAGUUUUAUCCUGGCUCAGGAUGAACGCUAGCGGCAGGCUUAACACAUGCAAGUCGAGGGGCAGCGUGUUGGUAGCAAUACCGACGACGGCGACCGGCGCACGGGUGAGUAACGCGUAUGCAACCUUUCCCAGACAGGGGGAUAGCCCAGGGAAACUUGGAUUAAUACCCCGUAGGCCACCGGAGGGCAUCCUCUGAUGGUUAAAGUUCCGGCGGUCUGGGGUGGGCAUGCGUGCCAUUAGCUGGUUGGCGGGGUAACGGCCCACCAAGGCGACGAUGGCUACGGGGUCUAAAAGGAUGGUCCCGCACAUUGGAACUGAGACACGGUCCAAACUCCUACGGGAGGCAGCAGUGAGGAAUAUUGGUCAAUGGGGGGAACCCUGAACCAGCCAUGCCGCGUGGAGGAAGACGGCCCUACGGGUUGUAAACUCCUUUAGCACGGGAAUAAUCCGCCCCACGUGUGGGACGUUGAAGGUACCGUGAGAAUAAGCAUCGGCUAACUCCGUGCCAGCAGCCGCGGUAAUACGGAGGAUGCAGGCGUUAUCCGGAUUUAUUAGGUUUAAAGGGUGCGUAGGCGGCCCGGUAAGUCAGCGUUGAAAGUCUGCGGCUCAACCGUAGAAUUGGCAUUGAUACUGCCGGGCUUGGAUGCGGUGGAAGUAGGCGGAGUGUGCAGUGUAGCGGUGAAAUGCUUAGAUAUUGUACAGAACACCGAUUGCGAAGGCAGCUUACUAUACCGUUAUUGACGCUGAGGCACGAAAGCGCGGGGAUCGAACAGGAUUAGAUACCCUGGUAGUCCGCGCAGUAA
rnacentral:rRNA from 1 species